rnacentral:lncRNA from 10 species
AUGUCUCCGACGCCGCCGCUCUUCAGUUUGCCCGAAGCGCGGACGCGGUUUACGAAGUCUACCAGAGAGGCCUUGAACAACAAAAACAUCAAGCCAUUGUUAAGUACCUUCAGCCAGGUACCUGGCAGUGAAAAUGAAAAAAAAUGUACCCUUGACCAAGCUUUCAGAGGUAUUCUAGAAGAAGAAAUUAUAAAUCAUUCAUCAUGUGAAAACGUUUUAGCUAUUAUUUCUCUUGCUAUUGGGGGAGUAACUGAAGGUAAGUAUGGUUCCGUUUUGUUUUGUUUAAAGUAAUCUUGGACAUGACAUGCUUUAUUUAAAACGUCUUCUCCCCAUACUUCUCCACCUAUCUGAUUUUGUUUAUUCUUCAAGUUCUGCCUGACUCCCAACUUUGCCAAGAAGUCCCAGUUGAAUUAGUUCACUCUUAUUUCUCAUCUCUAUUAUGCAGUGCACAUUUUGGCACUUCCUUUGUUCUCCAGUUGUUUUGUUCAUUCAGUAAAUUUUCAUUGAGCAUCUACUAUGUGCCUGGUACUGAGCUAGGACCUGGAGAUUCAAUGGUGAAUAAAACAUAUUCCCCUGCUUAUGUGGAGCUAAUGGAAGAAACAGAUGUAUGCAUGCCUUACUAUGGUGUAAGUACUAUGGUCGAAGUGGGAAUGAAGUGUAGUUAGAGGGAAUAGAGCCAACAUGGCUCUCUAAACUUCAGUCUAAAGGAGUCAGGAGAGGUUUUAGAAAAGAACAUGAGAACUAGAAUGUGAGGUAUGAAGAAUUUGUUAGACAUACUAAGAAAGGAAU